UUUGUAAAUCUGGAGAGUUGUAGCGAGACAGAACCGGAGCAGCGUUUUGCGUCUGACGGUAGUACAAUCUGGGUUUGAAUUAGGAUGUGGCUGGAGACGAAACCCAGACUAAAGGUGUAACGUCAGACGUGUCGCUUCAACCGCGCUGGCUGCUAUAAUCCCGAAACCAGGUGGCACGCUAUCGAAUUAGUACUCCGGGCAAGCACCGGGGCACGGAAAAAGGAUGAUCUAGAUCUCAGAACGUCCCGAGGGGGCAAAGACGAUAAGAAAAAGAACCGAAAGUGAUUAGCAAACAUUUGGGAGGAACUUCUUCUGAGAAGUUCACUUAAGAAAGUAUCAUUCCACCUAGCGAAACCAUUGACAGGGUCGGUUGAUGACGUUAUAGGCGCUUUUGUUUCCAAUUAGAGUAUCGGCACAGCGUGUUUCCAGAGCUUUGGAAAUAUUAAAAGGCGUCUUCUCGAAAAAAGCCAAUCGCCCCUCCCGAGCCAAGGAAACAAAAAUAGAAAGAAUACCAAGAAAUACUUGCACCAACUAAAAGACCAAAAUGGUUUGCCUA